rnacentral:piRNA from 1 species
UUGUGGUAGUGGGGGACUGCGUUCGCGCUCUCCCCU